rnacentral:tRNA from 1 species
GGGAAGGUGGCUCAGUGGUAGAGUGCUUGCCUUGAAGGCAUGAGGUCCUGGGUUCAAUUCCUCCUCAUCA